rnacentral:rRNA from 1 species
UACGGAGGGGGCUAGCGUUGUUCGGAAUUACUGGGCGUAAAGCGCGCGUAGGCGGAUCUGCAAGUCGGGGGUGAAAUCCCGAGGCUCAACCUCGGAACUGCCUUGGAUACUGCGGGUCUCGAGUCCGGGAGAGGUGAGUGGAAUUCCUAGUGUAGAGGUGAAAUUCGUAGAUAUUAGGAAGAACACCAGUGGCGAAGGCGGCUCACUGGCCCGGUACUGACGCUGAGGCGCGAAAGCGUGGGGAGCAAACAGG